AAACCGUUCGGGGGUAAACGGACAGAGCCCGUGAAUCCGGGCGGCGGAAUUCAGAGUCGAUGGCGGCACGUCGUCGGUUCGAUAUUUCCGUCGCCGAACGGACGUCGCGACCCGUUUGGUGUUGGUCUCAGGAGACGUGUUUACGUUCGUUGACGCGUCGGUGGGCACGUGCGAGUCGUUCGUGUCCGGCCAGCUCGCCAGACGGUACGUUAAAGGUGGCCGUGACGGUCGAGCGCUGUUGGUACCGGUUUGCGACGAAUCUUCGGGCCUCUUUCCGA
rnacentral:rRNA from 1 species